AUUCAACUGACGAGUCCCGAAUAGGACGGAACGCGUGUGCUGGAU
rnacentral:hammerhead_ribozyme from 1 species